GCUUCAAUGGCUCAGUUGGCUAGAGCGCAGGUCUCAUACGAAAAGUAUGACGCAAUUUGAUUGUGUGAUCCUGAGGUCGCAAGUUCGAGCCUUGCUUGGAGCA
rnacentral:tRNA from 1 species